rnacentral:rRNA from 1 species
UACGGAGGGUGCGAGCGUUGUCCGGAAUCACUGGGCGUAAAGGGCGCGUAGGCGGCAGGCCAAGCGUGCGGUGAAAGUCCGGGGCUCAACCCCGGAUCUGCCGUGCGGACUGGUUUGCUAGAGCACUGUAGAGGCGAGUGGAAUUCCGGGUGUAGCGGUGGAAUGCGUAGAGAUCCGGAAGAACACCGGUGGCGAAGGCGGCUCGCUGGGCAGUGGCUGACGCUGAAGCACGAAAGCGUGGGGAGCAAACAGG